GGAGUUAGCCGGUGCUUCUUCUGUGAGUGAUGUCCUUCCUGCCGGCUAUUAACCCGCAGGCCUUCUUCCUCACUGAAAGUGCUUUACAACCCGAAGGCCUUCUUCACACACGCGGCAUGGCUGGAUCAGGGUUGCCCCCAUUGUCCAAUAUUCCCCACUGCUGCCUCCCGUAGGAGUCUGGGCCGUGUCUCAGUCCCAGUGUGGCUGAUCAUCCUCUCAGACCAGCUACGGAUCGUCGCCUUGGUGAGCCGUUACCUCACCAACCAGCUAAUCCGACAUAGGCUCAUCCGAUAGCGCGAGGCCCGAAGGUCCCCCGNUUUCCCCCGUAGGGCGUAUGCGGUAUUAGCCUGGGUUUCCCCAGGUUAUCCCCCACUACCGGGCAGAUUCCUAUGCAUUACUCACCCGUCCGCCGCUCGCCACCAGGGAGCAAGCUCCCCGUGCUGCCGCUCGACUUGCAUGUGUAGCNCGCCGCCAGCGUCAUCUGAGCGAGGAUACAACUCUGA
rnacentral:rRNA from 1 species